rnacentral:rRNA from 1 species
GACGAACGCUGGCGGCGUGCUUAACACAUGCAAGUCGAACGGUAAGGCCCUUCGGGGUACACGAGUGGCGAACGGGUGAGUAACGCGUGAGUAACCUGCCCUUGACUCUGGGAUAACAGAUGGAAACGUCUGCUAAUACCGGAUACUCAGCCUUGUGGGCAUCCGCAGGGUUGGAAAGCUCCGGCGGUCAAGGAUGGACUCGCGUCCUAUCAGCUAGUUGGUGGGGUAACGGCCUACCAAGGCGACGACGGGUAGCCGGCCUGAGAGGGCGACCGGCCACAUUGGGACUGAGAUACGGCCCAGACUCCUACGGGAGGCAGCAGUGGGGAAUAUUGCACAAUGGGCGAAAGCCUGAUGCAGCAACGCCGCGUGCGGGAUGACGGCCUUCGGGUUGUAAACCGCUUUCAGCAGGGACGAAGCGCAAGUGACGGUACCUGCAGAAGAAGCACCGGCUAACUACGUGCCAGCCGCCGCAGUAACAC